rnacentral:rRNA from 1 species
UACGUAGGGGGCAAGCGUUGUCCGGAAUCAUUGGGCGUAAAGCGCGUGUAGGCGGCUUGGUAAGUCUGCUCUGAAAAGCCCGGGGCUCAACCCCCGGGAGGCGGGGUGGAUACUGUCAAGCUCGAGUCCGGAAGAGGAGUGUGGAAUUCCUGGUGUAGCGGUGAAAUGCGCAGAUAUCAGGAGGAACACCAAUGGGCGAAGG